AGCGAGUCUGAACAGGGCGUUCAGUCGCGCGCCGCAGACGCGAAGCCGGGUGAGCUACCCAUGGGCAGGCUGAAGCGGGGGUAAGACCCCGUGGAGGGCCGAACCCACUUAGGUUGAAAACUGAGGGGAUGACCCGUGGGUAGGGGUGAAAGGCCAAUCAAACCCGGAGAUAUCUCGUUCUCCCCGAAAUAGCUUUAGGGCUAGCGUCGGGAGCUCACCUGUGGAGGUAGAGCACUGGACGGCCGCGGGGGCCUCACCGCCUACCAAAGCCGACCAAACUCCGAAUGCCACAGGUCCGGAUCCCGGCAGUCAGAACAUGUGGGCUAAGCUGUGUGUUCGAGAGGGAAACAGCCCAGACCGCCCGCUAAGGUCCCGAAGUCCGUGCUGAGUGGCAAAGGAUGUGCGUUUGCUCAGACAACCAGGAUGUUGGCUUAGAAGCAGCCAUUCAUUUAAAGAGUGCGUAACAGCUCACUGGUCGAGUGGACAUGCGCCGACAAUAUACGGGGCUAAGCACGGCACCGAAGCGGCGGGGUGGCGCCCUUGUGGGCGCGACCGGUAGGGGAGCUUUCCGGCCUGCGGCGAAGCCGAGGGACGACCCUCGGUGGAGCGGCCGGAAGUGAGAAUGCUGGCAUGAGUAGCGAGAGCGGCGUGGGAAACGCCGCCGCCGUAAACCCAAGGUUUCCCGGGCGAGGCUAAUCCCCCCGGGGUCAGUCGGGAGCUAAGGCGAGGCCGGAAGGCGUAGCCGAUGCACAGCGGGUCGACAUUCCCGCACCCCCGACGCGGAGUCUGACCGAAGGUGUGACGGAGGAGGGUAGCCGGACGGGGUUCUGGACGUCCCCGCGAUGGCGCGUAGGGCGAUGCCUUGUGAAACGCGGGCAUCACGUGGCCUGAGGCGCCGGACGAAGCGAGCGAGCGAAGCCGGUGAGCCCAUGCUCCCAAGAAAAGCACCUAGGGAUCCGCUAGGGGCCCGUACCGCAAACCGACACAGGUGGGUGGGUAGAACAUACCAAGGCGAUCGGGAGAACCAUGGUUAAGGAACUCGGCAAAACUGCCCCGUAACUUCGGGAGAAGGGGUGCCGGCGUGGCGUGGAGGGGCUUGCCCCCCGAGCGCGGGCCGGCCACAGCGAAGAGGUCCAAACGACUGUUUAUCAAAAACACAGGACUCUGCUCAAGCCGUAAGGCGACGCAUAGGGUCUGACGCCUGCCCGGUGCCGGAAGGUCACGGGGAGCGGUCAACCUCCGGGUGAAGCCGCGAACCCAAGCCCCGGUAAACGGCGGCCGUAACUAUAACGGUCCUAAGGUAGCGAAAUUCCUUGUCGGGUAAGUUCCGACCUGCACGAAAGGCGCAACGAUUUGGACGCUGUCUCGACCAUGGCCCCGGCGAAAUUGCACUAGUCGUGAAGAUGCGACUUACCCGCGGAAGGACGGAAAGACCCCGUGAACCUUUACUGCAGCUAGGCAUUGGCUGCCGGACCGUCGCGUAGAGGAUAGGUGGGAGGCAACGAACCGAGGGCGCCAGCCCCCGGGGAGCCACCCUUGGAAUACCACCCCCGACGCUCUGGCAUCCUAACCCCACGCCCUGACCGGGGUGGGGGACCGUGCCUGGUGGGUAGUUUGACUGGGGCGGUCGCCUCCCAAAGAGUAACGGAGGCGCGCGCAAGGUCUGCUCGGGACGGUCGGCAACCGUCCUCAAGAGUGCAAGAGCGUAAGCAGGCUUGACUGCGAGGCCAACAAGCCGAGCAGGUGGGAAACCAGGCUCUAGUGAUCCGGCGGCCCAGAGUGGAAUGGCCGUCGCUCAACGGAUAAAAGGUACUCCGGGGAUAACAGGCUGAUCUUCCCCAAGAGUCCACAUCGACGGGAAGGUUUGGCACCUCGAUGUCGGCUCAUCGCAUCCUGGGGCUGGAGCAGGUCCCAAGGGUAUGGCUGUUCGCCAUUCAAAGCGGUACGCGAGCUGGGUUCAGAACGUCGUGAGACAGUUCGGUCCCUAUCCUCCGUGGGCGCAGGAAGAUUGAGGGAGGCUGCCCCUAGUACGAGAGGACCGGGGUGGACGGACCUCCUGUGCACGGGUUGUCGACCAACGGCACCGCCCGGUAGCAGAGUCCGGUCUGGAUAACCGCUGAAGGCAUCUAAGCGGGAAGCCAGUCCCGAGAUGAGUCUUCCCUUCGGUAAGGGCCCUCGUAGACCACGAGGUCGAUAGGGCGCAGGUGCAAGCGCGGCGACGCGCUCAGCCGAGCGUCACUAAUAGCCCGAGCUCUUCCAUCA
rnacentral:rRNA from 1 species